UACAGAGGUCUCAAGCGUUGUUCGGAUUCAUUGGGCGUAAAGGGUGCGUAGGUGGCGGGGUAAGUCAGGUGUGAAAUCUCGGGGCUCAACCUCGAAACUGCACUUGAUACUGCCUUGCUCGAGUACUGGAGAGGAGAUUGGAAUUUACGGUGUAGCAGUGAAAUGCGUAGAUAUCGUGAGGAAGACCAGUGGCGAAGGCGAAUCUCUGGACAGUUACUGACACUGAGGCGCGAAGGCCAGGGGAGCAAACGGG
rnacentral:rRNA from 1 species